rnacentral:lncRNA from 1 species
UUCCUAUACCUCUGAAGAUGCAGUAGGAAGGAAUGAGGCUACUUGAAGGAAAAAGCACUGAAGAAGUCAAUGCAGUAAAACCGGGCACAAUUGGGCUUUUAGUCUUUGCUCUAUUCCCGUUACACAACAACGAGCAAAGAGGGGCAGCUGUAGAGCCCAAAUAUGCCCGGGCCCAAACAAAUAAAUGAGCCCGCAUACAGUUCAAACCCAACAAAUAAGUGGCCCAAAACAACCCUGGCCCAAAGCAAAACAAAAAACAAAAAAAGAACCCUAGCCCUAAACAGCAAGGAGCGCCGCAACAAGCCUUUAAGCGCGCCCAGCAGCCCCGCGUCGCGCCCAGCGCCUCCAGCAGGAGUCCAGUCACCGCAGGACUCGGAGAUCG